CCGACAGGCGUAGGCGAUGGAUAACGGGUUGAUAUUCCCGUGCUCGUGAUAGUGCGUCCAUGCCGAGGCUGUUGAUGCUAACCAUCCGAACCCGCCUCUGAGUCCUUCGGGACGAGGGGGAGUGGGGGAGCGUGGGGUCCGAUUCGGUAGUAGGCAAGCGAUGGGGUGACGCAGGAGGGUAGCCUCGCCACGCGGUGGUUGUCGUGGUGUAAGCCUGUAGCCCGACUCCUAGGUAAAUCCGGGGGUCAUACAAGGGUGAGAGGUGAUGCGUAGCCGAUUGAGGCGAAGUAGGGUGAUCCCAUGCUGUCGAGAAAAGCCUCUAGUGAGUGCUGUUGCGGCCCGUACCCCAAACCAACACAGG
rnacentral:rRNA from 1 species